GACUCUCUCCUCGCACUAGAAUUAGAUAAACACUUCUCUCCCUCUAUUUUCAUAUUCAUCAUAAACUAGUAAAUCUGUUCAUCCCACAACUCUUAGAAUCUCAAAAAAAAAAAAAAAAAAAAACUCUUAUAAUAUUUCAAGAGAUCGAUUCAUAUAUGGAUGAUCCUCAGGUUCCUCGAGUUACAUCCAAUUAUUCAAGUAUUCCUCUACUUGGUUGCAUCAUAGACACUCUUGUUCAUCUUUUUACGGACUCCAACACAAUCUUUUCUGACGAACAAGGCAAGGAAAUCGUAGACGUGGCGGUCGAAGAAAAUCGUGCAGCUCAUAAACACUUUAGGCAACUCAGGUGUGCUAAAAUCAAUUAGACUUAAAAGUUAAGUAUUACUUGAUAUUACAGGUUUUGUCGAAAAGGGUGGAGGCCAGAACAACCCAUAGUUGGAGUCCCUAUCACAGACGAAGAAGCAGGGCUGCGAAGAAGCCCUAAGGGUUUCAGCUUCAGUCAAAGAGUUUCACCAGUUUGUAAAAGUCUUACUAUGUUUUUAAUUUGUGAUAAUAUCUUAAUUGAUAAUGAAUUUUGUUGUUCUCUCUAAAUUGACAUAGAAAUAUAUUUAUUUACAAAAAAAAACUGAGAAACAAUUUUAAAAUCAAUCAGUGUGAAACUAAUUCAGCUUAUUUUUUUCCUCUUCCAUAUUUAGGCUUGAGCAAUAAUAAGCGGUUGAAUUAUUUCUUUGACUGUUGAAAAUUUAUACGUAGAAAAGAGUGAAGAAUGAGGAAGACAUUUGAUAACUCACUUUUUUAAAAGUCAUGAAGGGGUGGUGAGAACUUUAGGAUUACCUUGUAGCAUCUUUUAAGUCUUGUUAGCCGGCUCAAUGUUCUUGCCGAGAUUUUACUCCGGCCGGUUGAGAAUUUCGCCGAGCUGGCUAUUGGGAAGUCUUGAAUAGUCGCCUUUAAAUGUGUUAAAAUGGGUUGAAGUUGAUGAGUCAACCCCACCUAAUCUAAGGGGGUGUUAUUCAAUCUGUAUGUUGAAAUCAACUCCACUAGAUUAGAGUAUAUCAGAUUUUAAAUUUUUUUUAAUUCAUUUAGAAUAUAAUGUAUAUGAGUUGUUUAAAAUUUUAAAUUACUUAGCAGUGUAUUUAGAAAGUCACAUGCUAUUAUU
rnacentral:lncRNA from 1 species